GGGGCUGUAGCUCAGCUGGCAGAGCGCUUGCAUGGCAUGCAAGAGGUCACGGGUUCAAAUCCCGUCAGCUCCACCA
rnacentral:tRNA from 2 species